rnacentral:piRNA from 1 species
UAGCCAUUUGGAAGGAUCAGGUGAUGC